AGUUUAUGAGACGAAUUAUGCACCAUUUUGCACUCCUAUGUCCUAAUGCAGCUAACUUACCUGUAAAUAAUAUUAUUCAUUUUUGUUGCAGUCUGCAGACUUCCGGAAUCGCAAUAAAAAAUGGGCGACAUUUUACCGGAGCUCCUCAUCCAGAUUUUUACGUACUUGGAUGUGCAUUGCCUAGCUCGUGCUCAAAGGUUCGGGGAUUGUUUUAAACUGUUAUCCUGAUUGAAAUCUAUUUUUGCAGUUGACUCAACUUUGUUGUACUGAUUUGCACUUUUAACUUUAAAUACAAUGCUGCAGGAUUAUCAUAAGAAUGAAAAAACAAUUUUCAAAAAACUGGGUUCAUCUGUCCAGAAAAAGAAUAACCAGGAGAUCCAUAGGCGAAUUUACCUCGCUUGGGCAGGAGGGGCACUGAGAACCCGGGAACCCAAAAGACGAUGAGCUAUUCUACUGCGAAAAUCCCGUUGAGAUUUUUUACAGGCAAUUAAACUGGUUCAGCUUGCGUGUAAAGCAAAGUGCCUUUGAUCAGUCCUUUGAUCAGUCAUCAAGCAAAUUGCGCUCAAAAUUCUGCUCGGUAAUUAUCUGAACUUGUCUCGCUUUAAUUUUUCUCCUCGUCCCGCUUGGUGCUUCUUCAGAUUGCAGUCUGCUCGCAAAUAGCAAUCAACUGACUCGAUAACACCGUAUAAAGAGAUUUGGCCUGGUACAUGGUACCAAAUUCGUGUAUCUGUAGUUUAACUGAAAGACUUUAUUUCGGGUGUGGAAUCUGUCAGUAAUCGUGCGUCGACUUCGCGCUCCGCGCGAAUUUACCUUGUUUGUGGACUCUGUAUAUGAUAUCGCGCUGUUGUUUUGCCGUAUAACUUCCGCUGCAGAAAAACUUUAAUUACUAUACAUUCCUGUAUUUUACAUAUUUUUAUAGAAUUUGUAGCAAUUUCUAUUUACAACGUUCGCCGGAAGCAACUGUUAGGAACGUAGCUUGUAGUGGUAAAAUGGGCCCGCGCUCAAGCUCUGACUCUGACUCAGACUCUGACCGCUCAAACUCUGACUCUGACUACUCAAAGUCUGACUCUGACUGUCUAAACUCUGACUCUGACUCUGACUGAAUAACCUAAGAAUAACUUAAGAAACCUAAGAAACCUGAGAAAAGAAACCUAAGAAAUCUAAGAAAUCUAAGAAACCUAAGAAACCUGAGAAACCUAAGAAACCUAAGAAACCUAAGAAACCUGAGAAACCUAAGAAACCUAAGAAACCUAAGAAACCUAAGAAACCUAAGAAACCUAAGAAACCUAAGAAACCUAAGAAACCUAAGAAACCUAAGAAACCUAAGAAACCUAAGAAACCUAUUAAGAAACCUAAGAAACCCUCAGAGUCAGAGUCAGACUUUGAGCGGUCAGAGUCAGACUUUGAGUAGUCAGAGUCAGAGUUUGAGUGGUCAGAAUCAGAGUCAGAGUCAGAGUUGGAGUCUAGGCCGGUAAAAUGGAUUCUUUAUCCCACAGGGUGUGUACACUGUGGAACGACGUCAUUUCGCAAAGAUUGCCACGUUACUGUGUCGCAGUCCGCUGCCAUCCAACGGUUGACCGGAGAGUGCCUUUCUCCGAGCCAAGCGAUGGUGCAUUGUACAUACUUUAUGUUACUGCGAGCUACCAGCAGUGCCACAAAAGUCCUGACGCUCCACAAUUUCCGUUCGACUAAUCACUGGAUCCGUCGGCUGUUGUGGGUACUGAAAUCCAACGAUGUGACGUUGUACUGCUGCGUCUAGAAAACAGCCAGGUGACCCACGAGGAAGCCGUGGCUGUAUUGGCCUGAAAACGUGAACCAGCUGCAAUACCACGACCUCUCGUGUUACGAUCAUCAUAACAACUAAUCUGUUCUCUGCAGCAGCCAGCGUUGUCGGCGGCUACAAAUAAUUCAGUACCAGAUCAGCAAUGUCUUCAGUUUCGAACAUGUAUUCGGAUCCGCACCGCCGCGUUCGGCCCGCCAGAUUCAACUUCCGGUGGUUAUUUGUAAUCUUAUUCUGGAAUGUGGAACGGAUCCAGCAAGUCUUUCCUCCAGUUUGAUGGCGGCCGUAAAUGCGGAAUGCGUCCCGGUCAGUGAUGAAUUCCGGGAAAAGGUGGCGAGGGUGUUCCAGGAAAAUCUCGUGGACCAUAGCGCAACGCAGUGUGUGUCGAUGCCGGUACGGACCAUGCGUCACGAUGCCGGACACUGCGAAUGAUUCGGGCUGUUACUGAUUUGUACGUUAACAACAGUUUACUAUUCUUCAUUUUACGGGGUGUUUUAACAUACUUGAAUUAUGAUAGUAUUUGUACCUGACUGUCUAUUUAGCGCAGUUCCAACUGGUUCAACAUUGGUGAAAUGCGGCGGCGUGUGUCUUCAUUAAUUUUUACGUAUGAUAAAUAAUGUUUAUAUUGUGAACUGGUUUAUAGUUUCUACUACCUUUUUGGUGUAAUAUAUAAAGCUGCAUGUGUUU